AUUAAAAAACUAAAUCAAAUCAACACAUCUUUCAAUUUCUGGACAAAACUAAAAGAAAAAAGAAUGAAGAGAAGGUGGGGGGGCAAAAAGAAGAGAAGAAAGAAGAAAAAUCAAAUUUUGGCGGGUACGUCGCUGGGUCGAUCAAAUGCUGUGUGGGGUUGCUGUGUAGUCUUCACUCUUCAUCAACCAAUCACCAGGUAGUACUAAGGAUGGAUGGACGGAAACGUACUCUUCUCCUUCGCGGCCGCCUCACCAU
rnacentral:lncRNA from 1 species